UACGGGGGGGGCAAGCGUUGUUCGGAAUUACUGGGCGUAAAGGGUUCGUAGGUGGCCAACUCAGUCAGACGUGAAAUCCCUCAGCUCAACUGGGGAACUGCGUCUGAUACUGGAUGGCUCGAGUGCAGGAGAGGAACGCGGAAUUCCAGGUGUAGCGGUGAAAUGCGUAGAUAUCUGGAGGAACACCGGUGGCGAAGGCGGCAUCCUGGACCGGCAUUGACGCUGAGGCGCGAAAGCUAGGGGAGCAAACGGG
rnacentral:rRNA from 1 species